rnacentral:lncRNA from 1 species
GUAUCAUGUUUGAAGAGUUCAAGAAAUCAAUGUGGUUGAAUUUGAAAUGUCUGAUCUUGGUAUGAUGUAUUACUUUCUUGGUAUAGAAGUAGUGUAUACCGUUAGUGAAAUCUUUAUUAGUCAAAAGAUGUGUGUGAAAUUUAGACAUGUUUCACACGAAAGAUCCUUGAAGCUAAACAAAGAACUCGAAGGAAAGAAGGUAGUUCAAAUUC